AGUGAACGCUGGCGGUAGGCCUAAUACAUGCAAGUCGAACGGCAGCACAGUAAGGGCUUGCUCUUACGGGUGGCGAGUGGCGGACGGGUGAGGAAUACAUAGGCAUCUACUUUUUCGUGGGGGAUAACGUAGGGAAACUUACGCUAAUACCGCAUACGACCUACGGGUGAAAGCAGGGGAUCUUCGGACCUUGCGCGACUGAAUGAGCCGAUGUCGGAUUAGCUAGUUGGCAGGGUAAAGGCCCACCAAGGCGACGAUCCGUAGCUGGUCUGAGAGGAUGAUCAGCCACACUGGAACUGAGACACGGUCCAGACUCCUACGGGAGGCAGCAGUAGGGAAUAUUGGGCAAUGGGCGCAAGCCUGAUCCAGCCAUGCCGCGUGAGUGAAGAAGGCCUUCGGGUUGUAAAGCCCUUUUGUUGGGAAAGAAAAGCAGCAGGUUAAUACCCCGCUGUUCUGACGGUACCCAAAGAAUAAGCACCGGCUAACUUCGUG
rnacentral:rRNA from 1 species